CCCUAGCAUGCAAGCCACUGGGGGGCAGCAGAGGGCCGUGUUCCUGAGCAGGCAGCCGGCAGCGCUGUCCUGAAUUUCCACUCUCAUUCAUCUUUGCCCCUCUUGGUGUCUGGAUAUCUGGUUGGAGCAAUUCCUUGUCUGAUCCAGUCUGUAGUUCUCUGGAUUUCUCCUUUUACCUCAAUCUAGUCUGUUUUUCAGUAGACUUGUCCCGUUUUGUUUCUCCAUUCAUUCUUGAUGUACCUACCUUCUGUGUUCUGGGCACUAGAAUACAGAAUGUGAAUGUGACUAGAAUGGGACCAGGAAACACAUUUGACUGAGUCCUGUAAACCCCUGCUAGGCUAGUUGUGAAGGCUAUGUGACUUAUAGGAAAGGCACGUGUAGAAGAUCAAGUCCCACUGUGCCCAGCCAUGCCUGAUGGCAUCGCUGACCCAGCUCUAUGACACUGAGCGUGUCAUCUCUCACAAGUUUGAACUCUGGAACAUCCAAGCUCCGGACACUGCCUACUUCCUGCCUGCAUGUGCUCUCAUCAGCGUCCAGCAGUGGCCACGUUGUAGGACUCUCUAAAGUGCCCACUGUGUGCCAGACCUGGAUCCAGGUGCUGACCGAGGCAACGGAGGACCUGCCCUGAUGACAGCUGGAUUCUAGACUGAUGAGGACAACACCAAGUGCAGGAAUGUCUGCUAAUGCCUUCUUCAGAGGAAGAUGUAUCAUGAGCUUGGUUGUGUCAUGCUUUCCAGUCUCCACUUGCAGCUAAUCUUCAAAGCUUCCUCUGAUGCUUUUCCUGCAAAGAGAAUUUUAAGGAAGGAGCACACUUGGUUUGAUUGUGCAGAGCACGGAGCAUGUGCUUCAGCAGGGGGAAGAGGAGACGGCUUCCGGAGAGCAUCCAGCCAGGUAGAACAGGACACAAGAGGACAUGGCCGAGCGUCACUGGCCUGGUGACUUCCUGAUGCACACACUUGUUAAUCAUAUGUGUGUUCCUUCAUGAGGUGGCAUUUGUGUAGCCCCCAGGAACACUGAGGCAAAGGGACAUCUCAUAUUUUCUGUCUUGAAGAAUUCAAAAUCUGCCUGCAGAAAUAGCAGGUAAAUAGAUAAUUAUGAAUUCUGCUGGAUAACAUUUUUUAAAAAUUUAGCAUUUAUGUAAAAUUUGAUUAGGUUGCUUUGGGAAAUUUAUUUUGCAUCUUUGUGCCUCAGUUUGCUUUACUGCAGCAAUGGAGAAAACAGUAGUGGCUAUUUCAAAAGAUUCUUAUUAACAUUAAACAAGAUAAUACAAAUGAAACUUUGGACUGACUUUAAUACAUGGCUGGGGCAAAAGGACUAUGAUGAUUAUUAUUGAUGGUUUGUUCUCUCUCACUCACACACACGCUCCAGAAGUCUAGAAUUAUAGAAGAUAUGAAAGAGCAACUUCAUGGUAACCAUUU